CUCUCUGCAGGGAAAUGAUCCUCUUUCUUCGGGGCACACUCAAGUCACCUCAUCCAUUUAGCCUUUCUGCACAAGCUUCAUUACUCCGAUUUCCCCGUCCAGGAGGACCACCUGCACCAUCUCUUGCUGGAUGAUAGCCACUCUCUGCAGAUGUAGUCAUAGCUGGUAUCUCACCAGCAGAUGCCAUGAUUCAAUUCCAC
rnacentral:lncRNA from 1 species